UAGCUCAGCUGGUAGAGCAACGGACUUUUAAUCCGUAGGUCCAGGGUUCGAACCCCUG
rnacentral:tRNA from 1 species